UCCAACGUGGAAGAAGGAGGAAUAAGGAACCUUUGCAAAAGGCACAGCGCAAUCCGCCCAGCGCAGCGAGCCCAUUCGCCGUGUGGGCAGGCGGCGUGAUUAGUGAUGGGCGACACUGUCCACCCUGGUGCCACAGAGCUUCUCGGUUCCUUCCAUUCUACAAACCAGGCAAGAUGUGACUCACGCAGUUUGCUUGCAAAGAAGGAGGACCAUCUGCUAGUCAUGAGCAGAUGACAAAUUGACUGCAUUGCGUCUUGUCGCUACUUCCAAAUUUUGCCUGCUUGAAGAGACCAACAGGGACGUUUUGGGGGUUUCUGCUAACAUGCUCCUUUGACAGCAAGACUCAGCUUUUACUGACUUGCUUGGAAGAAUCCAUGCUUAUGGGAAUGACUGUAGUGUCAUGGAGACAGAAAAAGAAAGAACAUCAUUUUAACAGGUUAAUGGCUGCUGGAUCCUGAAGGAUCUACCACAUGCCAAAACUUGUGCUUGCUUUUCUUCUUUCAGCUUUCACGCUGCUGUAAAGCUAGACAGCAUCUUUUCCUGACCAAGGAAAACCGCUGACCUUUAGCGGUGUUGACAAAUACAGAAGAAGACAAAUCCAGAUACAAAUAUUUUCAUCCAUUGCCACAGAAACUCUUUGAGAACCAUAUAGCCCUGUCUGGUCAGCUGAAAUGUGAACCCAGUCCCUUGGCUGAGAAUGGAUGGAAAACCUUUCUCUUGCUAACAAAGCAGCACUAUGUACUCUUCCAUGCUGUACCGGAGGAGAAACAUCUCCAUUCCUGAAACCCUGCUUUGCUUCUCUUUUAGACCAGAUUUUGUAUGAGGAAAGUGAUGAAACUUACUCUUAGAACUCUCAGAACUUGGAGAAGGUAAUGGUAAGAAGAGUAGAGGAACUAGCUUUAAAGAAUGUGCAGGUUAGGCAUUUUAUUCUAGCUGAGAGACAUAUGACUGUUUGUAUUCUCAGAAUUAAAAUAGAUUUUUUGCAGCUCUACUCCUGUAAUUUAGGUUUAGAUCUCAGUUAAAAACCCAAUACACAACUGACAUUGGUGAAGAAAAGAAGACAAAUAAGUUAGCAGCUAUUCUAUCUUCAAAAUAAAUUAAUAAAUAAAGAUAAAUGUCAAUAUUUUCAAAACUAGAGGAAAAUUCAGCCUAAGAGAUUUUCUCGGUUGGCUUCAGCAAUCUUUGGAUGCAGUUCUUGGACACAGUACUUCUUGUAGAGGAAAAUGCAGUAACAGGGGAGGAGAGCACUGAAUCUCAUAGCCACUGUAGAGCGCAAUUAACUCUCACUAUGUUCCUAUGGAGGCCUAUAUGGUCACUUAGAAUAGCUUUUCCACUUCUUUCAAUAGUUGAAGUCCUCCAGUUUUGCUUAUGAGUUAGGUGACUGGUAGGGCAGAGCUGUGCUGGGAGAUGUGGAGCAGAAGCAGAUACAUCACCAAGAGAGAAGAGUGGGCGAGACCCUAGCUCAACUUUCUAUCCGAACUCUUUUCUUUUCUACCAGUAACUGAUAAAUUAUCCAUUCUAUCUCCACAGGCCAGUCCUCUACAGAGAUGCACGGGGACAAAAAGCUCAUUUGUUAAAAAUGGAGUAUUAAAAAUGAAGGAGUUCAUUUAACUGAGGCAAAUUCGAAGAGAACUCCUUUUGAAAAGCAAAUUUUUACAGUGAGUUUUCUAAGAAGGUUGCACCUGAGCUUCCUGGAAGCAAAUGUUUUAGUUUUUCAGUUUAAAACACAGUUUACCAGGGUUUGACUUUUGUUUUAUUUAUCAGGUUGGCAUAAGAAUGAGACAUUGCAUUUUUAUCAAAAUGAAACAUUGAGAACAAUUUUAAAGGUUUUUUAAUGGGUGUUUUUGAAGGUUUAGUUUAAUAUUCGAGAGGAAAACAGAGUGCCUUUGUUCCAUUCUGAGAAAGAAUGGAACCCAUUUCUUUCCCUACAGACAAAAAAAUCCUGCUUUCCCCCAUCUCUAACACUCAGGAGCCUGUACCUUUUGUAAUGGCAGAGCUGGAGUUGUGUUGUAGGUGCUUAAUGGGAACAUUGCCAAAGAAAUGUGCUGUUCUGACAGGGGAAUAGAAACUUCAGCUCAUGAGUAGGAGUAGGUGAGCCUGAGAAUUACCCAAGCAUGUCUGAAAAUUGGCAGCCUGGCUGGAAAGCAUCCAGGAUCUCCAAGCGCCCAGAGUUUACAGACCAGCCCAGGAAGCAGCCUGCUUUAACAGCUCUGGGACACCCAGGAGGCCUUUUUUGGUGAAGUGCAAACCUUUACUCACACACACAUGCCCCACCUUAAGCAGCAAUCCAGUCAUGCUCAAAGAAUGUCUUGAAAAGAAUUAAAUGGCUUUACAUCAUGUUCCAGGAGAUUACAUUUCUUAAAGCUACCAGCUUAAAAGGUAGCAUGUCAAAGUUACAAAAGGUCAUACCUGGUGUUAUUUUCUGCCUCGAAUAAGGAGGAGUAGCCUGGUACCUUCUUACCCUCUUCUCUUUGCUAAUCAGUCCUGGCUGAAGCUAGGUAGUGUCCCCUAGGCUCUUUGAUGUAAGUGCAGAAUGCUGCAUUUGGGAUUGCCUUCCCUCCUGUUAUCUUGUGGAUGUCUCCCAAACAUGUGUUGACCAUUGAAAAUAUGUCCUCCUCAGGUGGAAUUUGGAGAUUCCCUUCAUUUCUGCAGUGUUUGUAAAAACAAACAACCAAGCAAAACCAGAUUAAAAGGGAGGGAAUGCUCUAAAUAAUGCCAAUGUGGUACUUGCUGAGCUUGGAGGCCUCUUUUGUUUCUUUUUUCACUUUUGUGAGGCUUAAAUGUCCAUGCUUUAAGACUGUACUUGGGCAGGGGGGGGAGGAAGACCCACAUCCUCAGCAAUAGCCAGAAACAACUGAUACAAACAGUUCUUGGAAUAAUGUGCUGUGAGUAAAUGUCUCAACCUUACAGUGAGACAGAAAGCAAAACAGUGAUGGGGCACCCACAACAAGAUACCUCCAAGGCAAGCUUAGCUUGCACAUGGGCAGUGUGGCUGUCCCUGCUCAGCCCUUGGGCUCACUGGCAGCUUGGACACCCCUGCACACAAAAUGAUCAGGGCUUCAAGUAGUGGAUCACAGCCCAGCUUCACUGAUGAUGGCACAGGAAUUUGAUGCAGAACUUCCCCACAUUUUCUUUCCUGUUAUGCCACUGUUAGAAGUUUCUUUUUCCUUUUGUAACACUUUUCAGAAUGGCUUAACUGUGAUUCUUAAGAGAACCUCAACUUUCUUUGCACGAUAGGAUAACAAAAAUGUAGCUGAACACUGUUGACCAUCACUCUACAUCCCAACUCUGUGUGCUCUGACACCCUGACAUGCCAAACUACAGUACAGAUGUGGUUCUAACAAAUAUUCCUGAGCAAGC